rnacentral:rRNA from 1 species
GACGAACGCUGGCGGCGUGCUUAACACAUGCAAGUCGAACGGAAAGGCCCCUUUGGGGGUACUCGAGUGGCGAACGGGUGCGUAACACGUGAGUAACCUGCCCUUGACUUCGGGAUAACUUCAGGAAACUGGGGCUAAUACCGGAUAGGAAUCCUUGCUGCAUGGUGGGGGUUGGAAAGCUUCGGCGGUUUUGGAUGGACUCGCGGCUUAUCAGCUUGUUGGUGGGGUAGUGGCUUACCAAGGCUUUGACGGGUAGCCGGCCUGAGAGGGCGACCGGCCACAUUGGGACUGAGAUACGGCCCAGACUCCUACGGGAGGCAGCAGUGGGGAAUAUUGCACAAUGGGCGGAAGCCUGAUGCAGCAACGCCGCGUGCGGGAUGACGGCCUUAGGGUUGUAAACCGCUUUCAGCAGGGGCGAAGCUUGUGGUGACGGUACCUGCAGAAGAAGCACCGGCUAACUACGUG